rnacentral:rRNA from 1 species
UACGUAGGGUCCGAGCGUUGUCCGGAAUUAUUGGGCGUAAAGAGCUCGUAGGCGGCUUGUCACGUCGGGUGUGAAAGCCCGGGGCUUAACCCCGGGUCUGCAUUCGAUACGGGCAGGCUAGAGUGUGGUAGGGGAGAUCGGAAUUCCUGGUGUAGCGGUGAAAUGCGCAGAUAUCAGGAGGAACACCGGUGGCGAAGGCGGAUCUCUGGGCCAUUACCGACGCUGAGGAGCGAAAGCGUGGGGAGCGAACAGG